rnacentral:rRNA from 1 species
ACUCAAAGGAAUAGACGGGGACCCGCACAAGCAGCGGAGCAUGUGGUUUAAUUCGAAGCAACGCGAAGAACCUUACCAAGACUUGACAUUACGCGACUGGUGUGGAAACACACCGUCCCUUCGGGGCGCGUGGACAGGUGGUGCAUGGUUGUCGUCAGCUCGUGUCGUGAGAUGUUCGGUUAAGUCCGGCAACGAGCGCAACCCCUAUUGACAGUUGCCAAUAUUAAGUUAGGAACUCUGUCAAGACUGCCGUGGACAACACGGAGGAAGGUGGGGACGACGUCAAAUCAUCAUGCCCCUUACGUCUUGGGCUACACACGUGCUACAAUGGGCGCUACAAAGAGUCACAAGCCUGUAAAGGUAAGUCAAUCUCAAAAAAGCGUUCCCAGUUCGGAUUGAGGGCUGCAACCCGCCCUCAUGAAGUAGGAGUUGCUAGUAAUCCCGGAUCAGCAUGCCGGGGUGAAUGCGUUCCCGGGUCUUGCACACACCGCCCGU